UGCAGUCGACGAGCUUCCGUUGAUGACGUGCUUGCACUGAUUUCAACAAUGAAGCGAGUGGCGAACUGGUGAGUAACACGUGGGGAAUCUGCCCAGAAGCAGGGGAUAACACUUGGAAACAGGUGCUAAUACCGUAUAACAACAAAAUCCGCAUGGAUUUUGUUUGAAAGGUGGCUUCGGCUAUCACUUCUGGAUGAUCCCGCGGCGUAUUAGUUAGUUGGUGAGGUAAAGGCCCACCAAGACGAUGAUACGUAGCCGACCUGAGAGGGUAAUCGGCCACAUUGGGACUGAGACACGGCCCAAACUCCUACGGGAGGCAGCAGUAGGGAAUCUUCCACAAUGGACGAAAGUCUGAUGGAGCAAUGCCGCGUGAGUGAAGAAGGGUUUCGGCUCGUAAAACUCUGUUGUUAAAGAAGAACACCUUUGAGAGUAACUGUUCAAGGGUUGACGGUAUUUAACCAGAAAGCCACGGCUAACUACGUGCCAGCAGCCGCGGUAAUACGUAGGUGGCAAGCGUUGUCCGGAUUUAUUGGGCGUAAAGCGAGCGCAGGCGGUUUUUUAAGUCUGAUGUGAAAGCCUUCGGCUUAACCGGAGAAGUGCAUCGGAAACUGGGAGACUUGAGUGCAGAAGAGGACAGUGGAACUCCAUGUGUAGCGGUGGAAUGCGUAGAUAUAUGGAAGAACACCAGUGGCGAAAGCGGCUGUCUAGUCUGUAACUGACGCUGAGGCUCGAAAGCAUGGUAGCGAACAGGAUUAGAUACCCUGGUAGUCCAUGCGUAACGAUGAGUGCUAGUGUUGGAGGGUUUCGCCCUCAGUGCUGCAGCUACGCAUAGCACUC
rnacentral:rRNA from 2 species